GAACGGGUGAGUAACGCGUGAGGAACCUGCCUCAAAGAGGGGGACAACAGUUGGAAACGACUGCUAAUACCGCAUAAGCCCACGGUGCCGCAUGGCACAGAGGGAAAAGGAGCAAUCCGCUUUGAGAUGGCCUCGCGUCCGAUUAGCUAGUUGGUGAGGUAACGGCCCACCAAGGCAACGAUCGGUAGCCGGACUGAGAGGUUGAACGGCCACAUUGGGACUGAGACACGGCCCAGACUCCUACGGGAGGCAGCAUG
rnacentral:rRNA from 1 species